UGGAAUCUUAUCUGCUGAAAUAAUCUGCAUUAACUUUUCCUUGUAUCAUCUAUUGCAGAGUGCUCGCCUUUACCAUUGUAAGUAUACAGACACACAUAAAAACACACAUUUAGAAAGUGAAGAGCCCUUUACGUACCAAACUUAAAGACCAAUAUGAUCCUUUACACCGAACUCAUACAGAAUAAAUGAAAAAUACUAUUUAGAACUACC
rnacentral:lncRNA from 1 species